AACCAGUGAUGAAAUUAGAUUCUGCCAAAUGAAUACUCAUGAUAUUAGCAUCAAUCCGUUCCACUUUCACUGAGGUU